rnacentral:rRNA from 1 species
GACGAACGCUGGCGGCGCGCUUAACACAUGCAAGUCGAGCGAGAACCAGCCCUUCGGGGCUGGGGAGAGCGGCGAACGGGUGAGUAACACGUGGGUAAUCAACCCUCGGUACUGGGAUAGCCCGGGGAAACCCGGAUUAAUACCGGAUGGCCCUUCGAAUCCUCGGACUUGAAGGAAAGGGUAGCUUCGGCCUCCGACCGAGGACGAGCCCGCGGCGGAUUAGCUUGUUGGUGGGGUAACGGCCUACCAAGGCGACGAUCCGUAGCUGGUCUGAGAGGACGAUCAGCCACACUGGGACUGAGACACGGCCCAGACUUCUACGGAAGGCAGCAGUGGGGAAUCUUGCGCUAAUGCGGGAAACCGUGACGCAGCGACGCCGCGUGGGGGAAGAAGGCCCUCGGGUUGUAAACCUCUUUCAGGAGGGACGAAGCUACUCGGGUUAAUAGCCCAGAGGGUGACGGUACCUCCAGAAGAAGCCCCGGCUAACUACGUGCCAGCAGCCGCAGUAA